GCUGCUCGGCCUGCUCGGGCGCCCUCCCGGUCCUGCCCUCAACGCAGGGUGUCCGCAGCCUCCGAGGCGUGGGGGGGAGCCCCAGGCCUGGGCCACUGGGCCAGCCUGUGGUUGGCAGGGGAGCAGUGAGCUCUCCAACCCUGGAGGCAUACAAGCCGAUACAGGACUGAGGGCCCGGGAUGCUGGCAAGGGCUCUGCCUGGAAGGAAGCCAGCACUCACGGGUCCUCUGUGCAAGGCAGCCACGGCUGUGGUUGGCCCGCUCUGUGACUGAGGAUACGGAGGCCCCGGGAAGGUCAUCCCACAGCCUCCCGCCUGAGCAGGUAGCUUCUGAGCACAGAUGACACCACGAAGCCCUCAGUCGGGGGGUGUGAGGGCAGCUCACUAGAACUGUGCAGCCCAGGUGGCCGUCCUCCUGCAGACCCCAAAGCCAGCGAGGUGCCCGGUCCAGGACGGGGAGGACACCAGCCUCACCGGCAAGCAGCCCCCCAGGCGUCUGCCGCGGUCCAGAAGGGCCCGAGUCAGCAUCCUCUCGCAGUCCCAUCCCGAUAAGACUGGGGGCCGCCAGCCCUUUCCAGACCUCAGCCCCUCCAAGGCCACCCCUGUUCCAGACCCUCCUCCACGGCCUCCCAGACCAGAGGUGCUCCUUGUGCAGGAGUCCGGGCACGUGCCCAGCGGGAGCCGCGAAUGAGCAGGACCCCAGAGGGAGGGAGCCUUGGGACAAGGGUGGGCGAUGUCUCAGCUUGCCCCCUCCCGAAGCAGGCCUAGGGGCUGCGGGGGUGUGAGGGGUCCAGAGCUGAGACUUAGGCCCUCACUGUCCCAAGUGGCAAAGGGGUGAAAAGCACUUUUGAACCAGAGUUCGUUCAGAAGAAAUUGCCUGCCCACAGGACAGACCCCUGACCCAGGGAGCGGGGAGGGAGCCCAGGGUUCCACUUCUGGAAAACUCAGGUCUCUUGGAGAGACCUUCUGUCACGGGGCUGAUGGGCGCCCACCAGCUGGGCUCUGCUCUGACUUUGUUUCCCCCCAGCUGCCAGAAAAGGGGAGCUAAGCAAGGGGCACCCACGUGGGGGGUGGCAAGGUGAGGCGCGCGAGGGGCAGAGUGCUGGGGACUCCUGAGGUCACGCUCAAGGUGGAGCCCAGGCCUGUCUGCCUUCUCAUCUGCUGUCUGCGAGAGACCGAUCACACCUGUGCCUUACAGCUGCCGAGUGACCAGGAGUCAUGAGGCUCUGAUCGAGGGCUCACUCUGUCUCUCUCUGUCUCUCUCUCUCUUCCCCGCCCCCACCUCCACAUCUUUACACUUGGAACCAGAGGGACACCUGUCCCUCCAGGUGUGUGAGGGGACCAAAAGGCCCUCAGAUUUCUGCUCCCGGGUCCCUUCCUGCCUUGGGCCCCAACCCAAGGGGCUCUGAGACUGGCUUGAGCAGGGAGAGAGGAGGUGGUCCAGACUGGGCAGCUCCUGACCUUCAAACUGGGGCCGGCAGGUGCAUAGUUGCCGCGUACCAUGGACUUGUGGCAAGCCUCCCCUUUUCUGGCUGAAGCUGUCCCCGUGGGUGGUGGUCUCGGUGCCUCAGAGCCCUUCUGUCCUCGCCUCCCCUUCCUGCCAGGCCUCGUCACUACUCAGGGCUUGCCCUUCUCAGCGACAGCAGCCCUGAGCCAGGCAAACGAAGCCGCCCGUGUAUGGGGCUGUAACUGGGAAGCUUCCCUCCUUCCCCAUCAUGUACGCAAAGCCCCGUGGGGUCCUAGAGAGCAGGAGAUCCUGGGAGACCUUCUACUGACCCGGGCCCUGAAGAAUGUGCUGGGGACAGUGGAGUUCUUGGCCAAGGGACAGCCGUGGGGCGGGGAGGGGGCACUGGGAGCGGGCGUCGGCCCCUCAGAGUUGGCUGGGGCCGUGGGAGGCGAGGUCAGGGUGGCAGAGGGCAGCCCCAGGCCCAGGGAGCCCUGGGGGAGCAAGUGUCAAGCAGGACAGGGGUGGGCAGCUUCACCCCGAGCUAAGGGAGGCCCCUGGGUGUGACAGGGACAGGUUUCCCCGAGGCAGGGCCCACAGGGUGGACGGGGGCUGAUUGGGGCAGACGGGCGCUGUGAGCACACUCGGAGGCCGGGCCAGUGGUAGUAGCUGCAAGUAGCCCUCCGGGCCCUGUCCCCCGCCCCCACCAUCUAGCACCCAGUGCAGCUCGAAGUUCAUGCUGAGUUAGGGCCCAGUCAACCCUCUCUGGGACGGUCAGAUGGCGGCUUCUGCCUCUGGGUCCCAGCGAGGCCCGUCGGCCUAGUCAGGACCCACUUGCCCAGGGGAUGGCCCCCAGUGUGCAGCCCCCCGUGCAUGUGAGUGGCCACAGGGGUGGUCUGGGGGGCUGGGUGCCUUCCUGGCUCCUUGACUUAGGUCUCCUCAUGGUGACUUCUCCGCUGGCAGGAGUACUGGGAAUUUCCAGGUGCUGCUGGCCGCCCCCCCACCUUGGAGGAGUCCACGUCUGUCCCAGGGACCAUCCACCUGUGUCAGGAACCACAAGGCCAGGAGUGCACUUGCUGGGGGCGUCCUCCCUGUGGUCCAGCGCCUGCCGCCUCCUGCCCGCCCCCACCCCCAUCCAGGGACCUGGGCCACAGGUUGUUUGCCAGUCCCUUCUGGAGGGGAGGGAGAGCCCAGGGUUGCAGGCGAGUCUGAGUGUGAGCCCAGAGCCACCCCUGGCUCCCUCUCACUGCCUUUCUUCCAGAGCUGGACAUUCCUGCAGGGGGAGGAGGAGAAGAGGGGAGGUUGAGGGGAAACAGGUCCUUAGGGCCUGGGGCAGAGAGCCCAGAAGUGGAGAGAAAAGCUGCAGGGCUGGGUCCUGCUCCUGGCGCUGAUGUAAAAUCCCUGCCAGGUGUCUGUGUGGCCUUGGAUGAGAGCUGGAAGCUGGUUGCGGAAGGCAGGGGUGGUGCUCAGGACUCCGGGCCACUCAGGGCAUGGGGUGGGAGGGGGAUUGCUAAGCCCAGGGAGGGGCUCUGAAGGUGCAAGCCCCAUCAUGCGGGCCGCCACAGCCGCCUGAUGAGGGGGGAGUGGACUACUCCUUGGUGGGGGGGGAGUGAGCACCCUGUGCCGUAAAGCAUCCAAGCCGAGGCAGUGGGCUGGGGUUCCCCGAUGGUCCAGAAAUUCUCAGAGGGAGCAGCAGCGUGCUUAAAAAGUGAGGUGAGUGCUGAAGGAGCCUUGCCCGGGGUGCUCUGGCCCAGAGGAACCGCCAGGUUUGGUGAGAGCAGGGGGCAGGGCCAUAGAACUGGGGACAGCCUGGGUGGGGCUGGGCUCUGCUCUAAGGGGUCCUGUGGCCCAGAUAGGCCCCCACCUCCAACCGCUCCCAGAAGCCCCCCACCCCCCAGGAUGUCGCCCGAGGCCGGGUCUCAGGACCAGGAGCUCGGCCCUGCCCCGCAUUCUGCACAGAGGUGACAGCCCAGUGUCCCCUGCCUACAGGGACAAAGGCCCCUGAACCCACUGCUCAGACCAGCCCAGAAGGCUGAGGUGCUGGCCGACCCAUCAGGUGCCUAGACUCCCGGCCUGGCCCUGGGCCAGAUGCCCUGCCAGCUUCCUCCCACCUGUCCCCCUCACCUGUCUGUCCCUCCAUCAGUCCUGUGGUUUCAGGUUGACCUCCUGGUCUCCCAGGCCUGCAGGGUGCCCUGGUGUCUGACAGAGCUGCGGCAUUGGGGUCUAGGCCAAGACCAAGGCUAGGGGUCUCACCCUGCUCAGGUCUCAGCUCACUAUGCGGGCUCAGCUGCCAUGAGCCUCAGGGUUUCAGUGUCCCCUCUCCCCCAACCCCCCGUACCACGGGAAUUGAGGAGAAAGAUGAGGGGUGAAGCCUGGGAAGGUCCAGAAUAUAGCAGAAAGUGCAGGAAGUAGGUCCAUUGCCUGAACCUCAGCCCCCAGCAGCCUCCUCUGGAGGCCAGCUUAGGUGUGACCAUGAGCGGACGGAGGACAGAAGGCAGACCAGUGGCAGGCUUCUCGGAGGAAGAGGCAUCAAACUGGGCCUGGAAUCUUGCCAGACUGCUGGAGGGGUCUGGGCACCUCUUGCCUUGCCGGUCAGUGUGGCCUGAACCCGGAGGGUCAUGUUGGGUCCUGGUUGCCCAACAGAGGUCUGGAAGUUUCUGAGGUCAGAAGUCAAUGACCCAUUGUGGUCACAGUGAGGGGACGAGGUUCUGAUUUCACUGACUUAACAGAUGUGGGGGCUGGAUGGACCCUCCGGGCCCGGGGCCGCCUCAUCUGUGGCUCCCUGUGCCCCUGGUUGUGCUUGUCCCCCUCUAGCAACCUCAGCCCUGCCCGAGACCCCUGUCCGCUGCCUGCUUCCUCCCAGGAUUGCCUGGUUUCCCUCCAGGGUGGGGUCCCAGAAUGCCAGGCCAGGAAUGCCAGCUAUGUGGGGAGGGCGGGCGGGCAAGCGCCCGCGGGGGGCGUGAGGGAGCCGCCGGACGCUGUGCUCUCUUCCCCGGGAACACCGCGGGCAGUGAGCUGAGCCGGGCAGUGGGCUGGAAAGAUUGCAGCAGGCAGGACCCGUGGUGGAGGGAGCUCGGCUGCAGGAGCCCCACCUGCGAGCUGGGGCUGUUCUGCCCAUCGGACAGAUGGGCAAGCUGAGGCCAGCGAGAGUCAGCGGCCGAGCAGACCUUGAGCACAGGACCCCAAGCCCCGAGAACCUGCCCCAGGAUACAGCCGCAGACGGAAAGACUGAGGCUCAGAACAGACCUUAAGGGCGGCCUUCCUGAGGUCCGGGGCUGUCCCCAAGGCCCAUGCUGCCCACUGAACAGAGCCAAGAGUCCCAGCAGGGGAAGGAGAGGAGCAGACUUAACGCCAGGAGGACAGGCAGGAGCGCCGAGGCCACCGCCAGCUGUGCCCCCCCCCCCCCAGGCCUGCUGCUGGCUCUGGAGCUCAGGAAAGAGCCUCUUGCCACCUGCCGAUGGCUGGGAAGUUCUGGGCUGACCCCUGUCCACCUGAUGGAGACAAAGGGGGGGACAUGGGGUGGGUGGGCGUGGGGGCCAGCUGCCAUCUUCCCAGGUAUUUGCGGAGUUACUUCCUGGACAAGUGGACCCAGGCCCGCCUCUCUGGCUGAUCGCAGAUAAUUAGAACAUUCUUCAAAUAUUUUGCCGGAGGAUGCCCGAGAAGGAAGAAUUAGAAAGCGCCCCGGGCCAGGAGCGUGGGCCGCAGGAGCUCUGGGCAGCUGGGCAGCAGGGACCGGGACCGGGGAUGGGGCCUCCGAGGGAGACAGGGCAUCUGGCCCAGGCCUGGCCAGGCUGUCCCCACCUCCCAGGGAGCUGGGGCUGGGUUGGGCGUUCAAGUCCAAGGCUAACUCAGGGCUGGGGUGGGUGCUGGGCUACGUUGGGGAUUCCUGCCCUGGGGAACUCCCAGCUUGUGCGGGUGGAUAAGCCUUACCUUGAAGGGCUUUAGGAAAGGCCUGAGGGGGUCGAGCACUGAGUCCUGGCCCCCUGGGGGGCAGGUGGGCGAAGGUCUCUGGGAGGAAGGGCUCUGCCAUGGGGAGGUCAGUGGGUCUGGGAGGAGAGCAGAGGCGUGGGGGUGGAGUGAAGUAGGAGGAGCGAUAAGGGGGUGCCUGGGGCUGACCUCAUGGGUGGUCCCUGCAGCCCUGAUGGCUCAGGGAGGGUAGGGGCCUGGCUCGGGCUCCAGGCCUGCCGUCCUGCUGUAUGGGGCAGGGAGGAGGGUGACCCAGAGGGCAGAGGGGGCGUGGGGAAGCCCUUUCACAUCACCGCCAACCUUCCUAGAAGUGGUAGUCACCCCCUGAGCAGGGGAAAGGGGAUCCAGGGAGGGACAGCUAUCCCCUGGUGACCCCCUCUGGUUCCUGUGGCUUGUGGGGGAGGGGUCAGGGCUGUUGAGGUCCAGCAGGCUCCAUCAUGAGGUCUGAGUUCGGGGAAGCGCUUGGAUACUGCGUCACCCCCGUGGAGGGCUGCCCCGGUCCUAGCCUAGGGAACAUUCCCAGGAUUCUGUGGUCGGU